rnacentral:rRNA from 1 species
GACGAACGCUGGCGGCGUGCUUAACACAUGCAAGUCGAACGGCAAGGCCCUGCUUUUGUGGGCUGCUCGAGUGGCGAACGGGUGAGUAACACGUGAGUAACCUGCCCUUGACUUUGGGGUAGCUUCAGGAAACUGGGGCUAAUACCGGAUAGGAGCUCCUGCUGCGUGGUGGGGGUUGGAAAUUUUCGGCGGUUGGGGAUGGACUCGCGGCUUAUCAGCUUGUUGGUGGGGGAGUCGCUUGCCAAGGCUUUGACGGGUACCCGGCCUGUGAGGGGGAACGGCCACAUGAGGACUGAGAUACGGCCCAGACUCCUACGGGAGGCAGCAGUGGGGAACAUUGCACAAUGGGCGGAAGCCUGAUGCAGCAACGCCGCGUGCGUGAUGACGUCCUGCGGGUUGUAAACCGCUUCCGCCUGUUACGAAGCGGGAGUGACGGUAAUGGAUAAAGAAGCACCGGCUAACUACGUG